rfam:Paraburkholderia caribensis strain Bcrs1W chromosome 1, complete sequence.
AUGAGUGCCUGUUCACAUACUUUUUUCCGCAGUUGCGCAGCAGAUCGCGUCGUCGUUGCCGCUGACAAUAAGGCAACGAGGCGGUCCGCGAGGCGCAAUGCGACGACCGAAGUCGAGCCGCUUGCCCCGUCUGCCGGGGCGGCGGCUUUUUUC